AACACGACACAGUGUUUUCACAGGGUCCUGGAGUACACCUGUGCUUCCCCGCAGCAAGAUGAGACGUGAAACCACAGCAACCCAUUCACACAUUACUCAAGUCUUUACUCGCUAAAGUCCAGUUAAGACCAAAGAUUCGCGACGAGACGAGACGAGACGAGACGAGGAGAAACAAGCAACGACUUGCGAUGCAUCGUUCUGCAACGUUCUAAAAACCUGCUGCUUCACACCAAUGCAACUAGAGUUGGAAAACUUAAAAAGAACCAGAGUGGAGAGGAACUGGCUUCGGUGAAGAGCUGGGAGAGCUGGGCUCUGGAUCAUCGCUCUGUGCGGAUGUACUUACUGCCACAGAACACUCCAUUAUCUCAAAAUGACAGCUAAAUUGGCCUGUCAACAAAGCUACACUCAUCUAAGCAACUUCACUGGUGCAUUAGUGCUUCUUCCAAACAUAGAUCAGGGAUAUGGGGCAUCUCUUCCGUUCUGGAAGCCACAGGGGGAAAUUAGAGAGUUUCUAAGUGCUGCACUAUUCAAACAUGCAGGCUUGGCUGUUGGUUGGUUUCCCUUGCCUAUCAGAAUCCAAGAUGAGCUGCUUGAGUAUUUUGUUCAUGAUUGCUUAAAGUUGAGUUAAAAAAAAAAAAAAAAAACAUAAAAAAAAAAUAAAAGAAAUAUCAUCCCAAUGAAUCAGGGGAACAAAAUGCUGCUGAAUAAUAGUAGCAUUCAAUUGAUGGUGUUAUUAAGUCAAAGAUAGUAUUCCCUUUGGCUGCUUCAACUUGAACUCCAGUGAAGAGAACUGAACUUUACUGUCUUUUAAUAAAAGCAGCCACUCUAACUAUCUAUUCAUCUAUUCUUUAGUUUAUCAAAAACUGACCUUAAGUCUUUUAAACAGUCUGAAUGCAACAUUCAGAGCAUUAUUACUGACGCAAACCACAAUUUGCUAUAUAAAGAUAUUGUGGGAAAAUGGCAUAUUAAAUAGAGAAUGAUGUCAUGCAACCGCUUUGUGUGUUGUAAUCUCAGAUUCUUUGUGGGUUCUUGUGGUAAGCCAGUCCAGCCAGGCAUGCAUGUUAGUGCAUGUGUGCAGCAUUGUGGAAGCAUAGCGUCCACCCUCUGGUCGCCCCCUUAGUAACACUGUUAGCUCUGUCAGCAUUGCCGUUGUUAAGCGCUGUUUAUGAAGUUAGCACUGUUAGCUGCUAGCCGCUGGCUCAGUCACUUCUAAGGUGAGAACUGUGUCCAGACAACUCAAAAGCCACGUUUCUACUAAACACUUUCUGUAUGGUACAUUUGGAACCAAAAGUAACCCUUCAGACAUGGUACCUAGACCCUAACGUUUCCACCACUAACAGCACCCUUAAAUGUGGGCGGGGUUAUUGUCACUCACUGCUCCAUCUAGCACUCGCUGUAUUUCCUCUUAUUAGUCUGCACCUUGUUUAUCGUCCACAGAACAGGGCUGCACGCCAACAUUUCCAGAACAAAACAGAACAGGAGUGAGAGUCUAUCUUAAAGGGAUGUUUAAAAAUAGCGGGUUUGCGCAUUUAGUCCUUCUCAGGCAAGCUCAGGGGUUUAGUGUUGCCGGAGCCCACAGGAAAAACGCUCGGCAACGCUUUCUUUUCUCCGAGUGAGGAGAUAAACAAUUUUUUUUAUCUUUUUAAAUGUUUGAAAAUCCACUCACUACUAAAAGUGUGAGUCAUCCAAGAGAGAUGAUAAAAUCUAAAGUAAUGGUCAAAGUUGUCACAUUGAAAUUUAAGGUGUGCUGAUGGAUUCACGUCAUUAACUCAUAUACUGAGCAACAUAACAAGUAAAUGUUCCACCUUAAAAGUUGUCGGCAGUAGGCCCAGCAAAUUCUUAGACUACAGCUGCUGCAAGAGGCAAAACAUCCUCUCAUUUUAUAGUUACAGUCUACAUACAUAUGGAAAACUCUCCACAGUAUGUACAGUGGUUAUAUAAGCAUCAAAACCAGCCACAACUCAGCCUUGAGCAGAGUGACCGUCUGCUACUGACCAAUCAAUAGACUGCAGUGUUCAAAGCUCCACCUUUUAGUACCAGAUCUGUGUGCUCGGUACCCCAACAGAGGGGGGACCAGAAAUGGUGACAGUGCGGAACGGUUCUCUUUGUACCAUCCACAACUUUUCACAGUGGAAAUGGAAAAAAAAAAGUGUACCAAACUGAACUGUACUGUACCAUACUGCUCAGUGUAAAACAGGGCUCAACACUCGGAAUGUCACACAGAGCCCCUUUAACAUAACACAGUACAAAUUUUAAUAUUUUUGCCUGGAUCUGUCACCCCAAAUCAGUAUCCCCUUUGUGGCUCUUAGCUGACUAUGAUUAGCUUUCCUGUAUAUCUCCUGACAUAUCUGCAGAACUUAAGCAGGUAACUUAAGUCAGCCAACUCUGAAUUGCAGCAUUACUGCUCUAAACUCCUGUGAAUUAAAUUGCCUGAAUGUGUGUCUGGUAAAUCCCUAAAGCAACGCCACUAUCUCCAGUCCGGGCUGUUGAGGACUCAUCCGUCCCCUAACAGACUGUACACCCACUCUACGCCUCAGGCUUAUCAGUCUAUUAAAAAAAAUGCCUUGUGUAAAUUAAUGCUUGAUGGAUACCACUAAGCAUAAUUAAAAAGGUUGCUACAUGUAUGCUGUAGAGUUUCACCGUCCAAUGCUCAAUGCAGUACAUAUGGAUAUGUAAAUCACAGGGAAAAACGGGUAGCUAAAGUCUGUAGAGGAUAUCUUUUUUAGGUUCUCUAAAAUGUUUACACCACUGAGUGUCUGUAGAAUUGUGUCUAGAGAAAAGAAACUACUUUGCAUUUCUAUAGUCAGACUUUGAGGUAGGGAGCUUAGCUUAGCAACAUGGAGACUGAAAAUCAGACAAGCAGCUCAUUUAUAAUCUUUUGGUUAGGGUUUGUCUCAAAUCCACUAGGAGUUCCCUGCCAGAUAUAUCCCUUUGCAGAAAAGCUAGCCUCCAUAACAGGACUCUGCGCUUGUGUGUAUGUGUGCACAUGCCCGUAUUAUUGUUCAGAGAUAGUGCAAGAGAAAAUGUGUGGGAGGAAAUAGUGCAUUUCAGAAAGUCAUCAGAACCUUUUGCAAAGUACUGUAGCACUGUGUCGCUGGCAAGGACAGUUGGGGUGGCCUUAAGCAAAGAUACUGCCUCGGAGCCUUGCUUCUCUGUUUGCGCAUUUACCGGUAUGAUAUGAGACAAAUUUGACCAGAGGACAAUUCAUUCUACACCUUCGCCUUUCUUGUGGGCAAAACUGGACAGUACAAAUGGCCCUGUGUGUCUGUGUGUGGUUGCAUACAGCACAUGUCCUGUAUGUGCAAAAGCCAGCAUGCCCCCGCAUCAAUGAGAUUGAACAGAGCUGAGUGGGCAAGCUGGCAGGUGGGGCUCCUACAGAGAAGACCUUGACUGGAAGGCAAGAUACCUUUGAAAAAAAAAAAAAAGAAAAAAAAAAAGUAAUUUGCUGCACCUACUCAGAAAUCAACCACCAAGAGUUUUAUGCUGAGAGAGGUCGGAAGAUGCAGCGAGGCGAUUCACGCUGGUUGUUGUUACCAUUUAAUUUAGGGUGGCUGUCUAUAUAUGGAGAGAGCGGUUAGAAUACACUAACACCCCGUUAAUCAUUUCUUUCCUUCGAACUGAGAAUGUGGGCCAAGAAAAACAGUGUGAAUUUUGCUUAUAAUAAGCAAUACUAACAGAGAUAAAUUAAAGCCAGCGCUGAAAGUCUGGGGAUACUUGAGGAUGUAUUGUUACGAUAAGCCAUCUGAUGUAUUAUGAUAAAUGUCCUAAAGUACUCUCACUGUGUUGUGUGCAUCAUCAAGACAUGUAAAUGUAAACUGCCAGAGUGCCUUGGCAGAACAUCAGUCAGUCUAAUCUAACAAGACUUAAUCUAUAACUGGAGAUAAACAAGAAGAGCUGAGUAAUUCCAGAAAGCUGCAGAGUUUUAUGGGGAAAACAGGAAAGUGGAGAAGGCUGGUCACAAUGGACCCAAGGCUAUAAGCUCUGACUGUAACUAGUAUGGAUCUCUGUUUACCAAUGACCCAUCCCACUCUCCUGCUUCUCUUUCAUGCCUUAUUGCCAUCAAGACAAGACAGGCAGUGGCUAAUUACUGUACAGCAACAAACAAACCAAUACCUCUCUAUCUCUCUGGUCAUGUCCCAUUACUUCAGCUUAGUUCCCCUAUUCAUAUUUCUCUUGACAGGUGCAUCUGUCCAUGGAGAAUGAGGCAGUGUUUCAAUCGGCAGGCAGAGGAUGUCGUAAUUUAGAGGUGUACCUCUGGGCUAACACAUGGCUCAGCCAAGGUGAAAAUGACGGAGGGAGUGGAGUUUUAUUGAACACAACGGGGUUCUUGUCAAUAACGCUGCCACUUGGCAUUGUGUUCGAUGCCGUUAUUAAUGCUUGGGGUCCGCGCGCAUCUGCACAUGACUGUGCAUCUGUGCAUGUUUGUGUCUGACCUUCCCCGGCAAGUAUCGGUAGGUGCGAUGAUCAGGAUAGACUCUUUCCUCUCUGCCAGUUUCUCACAGGCAACACAGGAAUGUGUUGAACACCCACAUGCUCAAGCGCUGAAUCAAUGUGAGUCAAGGAGAGAGAGAAAUCGGGGGGGAAGGAGGGACAAUGUGGGGGGAGAAAAGCGGCAGACUCUGCGUGUGUGUCUGAGGGAGAGGGAAAGCGGGAGAGAAAUAAGAGGGAGUCUGAAAUGAGACAGCAAGGAUAGGAGUGCACAGAUUGAUAUAGCAAUUACCAAGAAAGCUAUCCCUCAGUUAGGAAUACAUCUACAUACAUUAGAGCAGGGGUUGCUCUCCAGCCACUGUUUCUCUGAGGUCAGCUCGGCGGCGUCUCAUACACAAACGGAGCACGAGAAAAGGUCAUCGCUGGGCAGCCACUGCGCACACACUAACAAUGAAGAGCCCAUCUAUCGUGCUUGUUGCUCAUACCACCAGAGGAAGAAAUCCAUCUGGUUGGCAGGGGAAGAAUGAAAAUAAACUCCCAAAAAGAGAAGCUGAAGUCUAUCUUCAUAUACAGACAUAUUGCACAAGAAAAAAAAAACAGAAUGAUCAGCUUCUCCGCACUGGCCUGAUGUCUAUGAUGUUUACUGGAAUUCCCAAGUGGGCUGUAAUUCAAGGCGCGUCUCAGUGCGUCAUCCCAUAAACAUGAACGUGGUCAAUUACCUGUCACUGCACAGAUGAACGCACGCAGCGUUCGGGAAAGCGACUUACACUUGGAAGCGACGCUCGCCACAGUGAGAUUCAAAGGACUGGCUGUCAUGCACACUUUCCCUGAGCUAGCAAGUAAAUCCGGUUAUAGUUAGCCUAUAAUGUAUGCAGAGAGAGGACCGGCAUAUGCUUGUGCAGUGACUACAGGCCCUGCAAUAUAUAGAGGGGAGUUUUGCAUGAAAAUGCGACGCUGCUACCAAACGGGCUCAGAGUAUGCAUGUAAGCACGCUAGUAUUUCAAACACCUCUGUUGGUUCAAGACACAUCAGACAAUGAGAACAAAGUGAGAAAGGGAGGGAGAGGGAGACAGAGAGGCAGAAAGAAGGCAGAGAGGCAGAGAGGUGAGGGGGAGUGAGAAAGAUGCUGUGUAAAUAACCCCCUGAAAAAGAAGAUAGAGGUAGAGGACAAGCAGAUGGAAACAAAAACCGUGGUAAAAAUGAUCCAGUGUGACUUGGAUCUCUGCCGCAGGCUCAAAGCUAUGCUCUGUCGGUGUAUGCAUGUCUGCACUGUGUGUGAAUGAAACGUGUGUGUGUGUGUGUGUGUGUGUGUGUGUGUGUGUGUGUGUGUGUACAGUACACGAACAUCAACCGAGCACCAUUCACUGUGUUUUUAUGUCAGAUAGUCGUAGGUGUACGAAAGCUGUGAUGACACAACAAGGCUGGGGAAAUGUGCAGCACAGGUCUGCUAACUGUGCCGUCCUCUCUUUCUGCCGCUGCGUGGAGGACAGGAAAGCGUUAAUAUCCAGCGGAUGUGGGCCGAGGGGUCAAAUUGGUAAGGCUGUACGGGGUGAUACCGAAUUCUCUUUGACAAAGCUCGAUUCAAGGAUCAUGCAUCAGACCAUCACGGCAUUAGAGGAUAGCUUCCAUCUCAUUAAUGGCACACAACUAUACAAGGUGAAGCAGGCUCCUGCUCUGAACAGAGAAUGAGCCAGACUGAA